GAUGAACGCUGGCGGCGUGCCUAAUACAUGCAAGUCGAACGCUUUGUGGUUCAACUGAUUUGAAGAGCUUGCUCAGAUAUGACGAUGGACAUUGCAAAGAGUGGCGAACGGGUGAGUAACACGUGGGAAACCUACCUCUUAGCAGGGGAUAACAUUUGGAAACAGAUGCUAAUACCGUAUAACAAUGACAACCGCAUGGUUGUUAUUUAAAAGAUGGUUCUGCUAUCACUAAGAGAUGGUCCCGCGGUGCAUUAGCUAGUUGGUAAGGUAAUGGCUUACCAAGGCGAUGAUGCAUAGCCGAGUUGAGAGACUGAUCGGCCACAAUGGGACUGAGACACGGCCCAUACUCCUACGGGAGGCAGCAGUAGGGAAUCUUCCACAAUGGGCGAAAGCCUGAUGGAGCAACGCCGCGUGUGUGAUGAAGGGUUUCGGCUCGUAAAACACUGUUGUAAGAGAAGAAUGACAUUGAGAGUAACUGUUCAAUGUGUGACGGUAUCUUACCAGAAAGGAACGGCUAAAUACGUGCCAGCAGCCGCGGUAAUACGUAUGUUCCAAGCGUUAUCCGGAUUUAUUGGGCGUAAAGCGAGCGCAGACGGUUAUUUAAGUCUGAAGUGAAAGCCCUCAGCUCAACUGAGGAAUUGCUUUGGAAACUGGAUGACUUGAGUGCAGUAGAGGAAAGUGGAACUCCAUGUGUAGCGGUGAAAUGCGUAGAUAUAUGGAAGAACACCAGUGGCGAAGGCGGCUUUCUGGACUGUAACUGACGUUGAGGCUCGAAAGUGUGGGUAGCAAACAGGAUUAGAUACCCUGGUAGUCCACACCGUAAACGAUGAGUGCUAGGUGUUUGAGGGUUUCCGCCCUUAAGUGCCGCAGCUAACGCAUUAAGCACUCCGCCUGGGGAGUACGACCGCAAGGUUGAAACUCAAAGGAAUUGACGGGGACCCGCACAAGCGGUGGAGCAUGUGGUUUAAUUCGAAGCAACGCGAAGAACCUUACCAGGUCUUGACAUCCCUUGACAACUCCAGAGAUGGAGUGUUCCCUUCGGGGACAAGGUGACAGGUGGUGCAUGGUUGUCGUCAGCUCGUGUCGUGAGAUGUUGGGUUAAGUCCCGCAACGAGCGCAACCCUUAUUACUAGUUGCCAGCAUUCAGUUGGGCACUCUAGUGAGACUGCCGGUGACAAACCGGAGGAAGGCGGGGAUGACGUCAAAUCAUCAUGUCCCUUAUGACCUGGGCUACACACGUGCUACAAUGGCGUAUACAACGAGUUGCCAACCCGCGAGGGUGAGCUAAUCUCUUAAAGUACGUCUCAGUUCGGAUUGUAGGCUGCAACUCGCCUACAUGAAGUCGGAAUCGCUAGUAAUCGCGGAUCAGCACGCCGCGGUGAAUACGUUCCCGGGUCUUGUACACACCGCCCGUCACACCAUGAGAGUUUGUAACACCCAAAGCCGGUGGGGUAACCUUCGGGAGCCAGCCGUCUAAGGUGGGACAGAUGAUUAGGGUG
rnacentral:rRNA from 1 species